rnacentral:rRNA from 1 species
UACGGGGCAAGCGUUGUUCGGAAUUACUGGGCGUAAAGGGCUCGUAGGCGGCCAACUAAGUCGGACGUGAAAUCCCCAGGCUCAACCUGGGAACUGCGUCCGAUACUGGAUGGCUUGAAUCCGGGAGAGGGAUGCAGAAUUCCAGGUGUAGCGGUGAAAUGCGUAGAUAUCUGGAGGAAUACCGGUGGCGAAGGCGGCAUCCUGGACCGGCAUUGACGCUGAGGAGCGAAAGCCAGGGGAGCAAACGGG